rnacentral:rRNA from 1 species
AGCCUAUAUAACAAAACCAUAAACUUUACUAAUUAAAGAAAAAUUUCAUAAUAUAUAGUAUUUUUUAAAAAAUGUGAUUUAACUUAUAACCGCAAGGAUUAAUACUUUAGGCCUUUAAAGAACUGAUAACCCCACAUCCCUUUUGCAUCAUGGAGAAGCAACAUAAAUAUAAUAAAUUAGGCUCCCGAAUGAUUAUGAGCUACUAACCCUUAAAAAUCAAUGUUUCAUAAUUGAUAAAGUAACUUUUAGUAGAAGUAAUAAGCCUUUCAUAUAAUCAUAUAGCUGGUUUUUCUUUAAAAGCAUCAAAGUGCUGACUUGUAGUAUUACACAUUAUGUUUUUAUGACUACAAAGUUUAAUUUAUUGAGGAUAAGCUCAAUAAAAACUCAAAAAUACUUUAUCACUUAACUUUCCAAGUAGGCUUAAAAGCAGCCAUCUAAUAACGUUUUAGUUACUAAUUCCAAACACUACUUAAUAUUCAUAUAUUAUUAUUUUAGUAUUUAAAGAAACUUAACACAAAACUUUUCAUGUUAAUAAACAGGCAUUCUAUUAGUAUUAACGUAGUUAUUAUUUCAUGACACUUAAAAAAUUUUGAAUCACAAUAAUUACUCUACUCACAAAAUUACAUAAAGCGAACUCGGCAAAUAAAUUCCCUGCCUGUUUACCAAAAACAUCGUCUUUUGAGUUCUUUUAUAAAAGAUAAUGCCUGCCCAGUGAAAAUUUUAAACGGCCGCGUUAGCGUGAGCGUGCUAAGGUAGCGUAAUAAUUAGCCUUUUAAUUGGAGGCCAGUGAAUGGCAAGACUAGGAAUAUCUGUACUUUAUGUAUAAAAAAAACUUUUCUUCUAAGUGAAAAGACUUAGAUAACAAAGGAAGACGAAAAGACCCCGCGGAACUUCACCUUUUCUUAUACCUCUGCGUGCCAAGCUUAAAAGUAUACAAGGUUUGAUUGGGGCAAUCUUGGAACCAAUAAAGCUUCCAAACUUCCGUAUAAAGCUAUACAAAAUUUAUUAAGGACCAAAAAGUAGUUACCCCGGGGAUAACAGCGUAAUCCAACUUAAGAGUACACAUCGAAAGUUGGGUUUGCGACCUCGAUGUUGGCUUAAGGACAUCCACAUAAGUGCAACCGCUAUGAUAGGAUAGUCUGUUCGACUAUUGUACCCUUACAUGAGCUGAGUUAAGACCGGCGCAAGCUAGGUUGGUUUCUAUCUCCUUUAACAUAUAAAUCUUCUUGAUUGUACGAAAGGACCCCAAGAGAUGCAUUUAACAAUAGCAUUUAUUAAACCAAUAUUUAACCUAAACCAUCAU